rnacentral:rRNA from 1 species
GACGAACCGUGCGAACGUUGUUCGGAAUCACUGGGCUUAAAGGGUGCGUAGGCGGGCGCGUCAGUCAGGGGUGAAAUCCCACGGCCCAACCGUGGAAGUGCCUCUGAUACUGCGCGCCUGGAGGGGGAUAGGGGCGUGCGGAACUUCCGGUGGAGCGGUGAAAUGCGUAGAUAUCGGAAGGAACACCGGUGACGAAAGCGGCGCGCUGGAUCCCUACUGACGCUGAGGCACGAAAGCCAGGGGAGCAAACGGG